AAAACCUCAACCAUAAUUUAUUAUGAGUUGGUAUUGCAUUGGACUUCUUGUGGGUCCUCUGCGAAAUUCAAUGGCGAAGAGCCACGCAACCAAAGCGUAGUAUAACUAUUUCGUUAUGGAAGCGUUGGUGCCUCUGCCGUAACCCCCAAUUUCUUAGU
rnacentral:misc_RNA from 1 species